UUGCUCAGCUUCAUGAUUGCUGUUGGUUACAAUUGGUGGACGAUAUUUGGGAGAAACUGUGGUCGACUGGACCUUGAUUUUCAGAAAAACUGGUUGGAAUAAGCAAACUGAAAAGGAAGAAGAAUUUUAGCCAAGGUGGCAGUGCUGUAGUGAUUGAGACUGUGGUCUAUGCAGUGGGGUUACCGAGCGGGGGAGUGAUGACCGGCGCCGCAUAUUUCCUUAAUAACACUUCCGAUUAUCGCCGGUCGUGGAAAACCUACCAGCCAACGGCCAUCUCACAGGAAAAGAUGGCGCUGGACUCAUCUGUCUCGUUGAUAUUUAAUUAUUGUACGUUCUUACAGGAAAAAUAAGUAUAUUAUUCUAAGUGGAUGAUACAACGUGAAACUGUAAAUCUAUAAGCAUCUGACGAACUGUAAAAUCUGUUUUAUCUGCCAAGGUCUUAACGGGACUGUACCUGUUACAUUUGGUUAUGGUAGAAUGUUUGGUUACAUACUAUGUGUGAUUUCUUGUGAAGGGUAUAAUAAUGUUGAUUCACAAGAUUUUUACUACAUCCUAUGAGUGAAAGAAGUGUUUGAAAGUAUUUAAAAAAGAAUCGGAGGAAGACACUUGUGUGUGGAGAAUUGAUUUUACGUUAACUGACAUGACCACUGAUAUAAUUUUACAGUGAUUAAAACAAUUUUAGGUGAAGGCAGGAAGUGAAUAGUUCAGGCCAAACAUUCGUACCAGUUUAAUUUUACAAAGUCACAGAAUAUAAUUUGAAACGAAAUUUAUGAACGAUGAAAUCAUUUUAAUAUCCACCAUAGGCUGACAGUUCUUUGUACAAGACGAUUUAUGGUAUCACGCAACACAUUACAUUACUGGUCAGUUUCGGCCUGUGCAUAUAAAACAAAAAUCACCAACACAACUGCAUUUGAAAAUGGUCACAGGCCGAGACGGGAUUUACGUAACUUGUUGAUGGUGUCUUCAGUCCGAAGACGUUAGAUACAGCUCUUCGAGACACUAUCCUGUGGAAUCCUCUUCACCUCCGAAUAACUACUCUAACCUACAUCCUUCUCAAUAUGUCAAUCUGCUUGCUGUAUUCAUCUCUUGUUCUCCCUCUACGAUUCCCCCCCCCCCCCCCCCCCCCACACACACACACACUACCAUCCAGUUCUAAACUGGUGACCUCUUGAUGCCCCAGACUGUGUGGAACCAAACGAUCCCAUCGCCUAGUCAGGUUGCGACACGAAUUUCUUUUCUCCCCAAUUUUGUUCAGUACAUUCUUAUUAGUUACGUGAUCGACCCAUCUAAUCUUCAGCAUUCUUCUGUAGCAUCACAUUUCAGAAGCUCCCGUUCUCUUCUGGUCUAAACUGUUUAUCGUUUAUGUUUCACUUUCAUAACUACACUACAUAACUUCAGAAAAGACUUCCUUACACUUAAAUUUAUAUUCGAUGUUAACACAUUUCUCUUAUUUAGAAACGUUUUUCUUUCCAUUGCCAGUCUAGUUUUUAUAUCCUCUCUACUUCGGCCAUCAUUAGUUAUUUUGCUGCCCAAAUAGCAAAACUCAUCUACUACUUUAAGUGUCUCGUUUCCUAAACUAAUUCCCUCAUCAUCACCUGUGUACAUGAUGUACUAAGUGUCAUAGCCGCGCGGAGUGGCCACGCGGUUUGAGGCGCCAUGUAGGGAUUGCGCGGCCCCUCCCUCCGGAGGUGUGUGUUGUUCUUAGCAUAAUUUAGUUUAAGUAGUGUAUAAGUCUAGGGACCGAUGACCUCAGCAGUAUGGUCCCUUAGGAAUUAACACACAUUUUAAAGGUCACAUUGCACAAAGAAUUUGAGAGCCUACGGUGGGUAUUUAAAAUUAUUUUAUCAUUCUGAAAUUAUGUGGAGACUGUGGAUCCAUCCAUAAAGAAACUAAUGGAACAAAAUUUGUAUAAGUGAACAUUCAAUAAUAACACGAACGGCUGUACUAUGUGAUCUACUGAAUAUAUUUGGAGCAGCAAAGUCAGAGCAUCGCUGUAAGUUUGCA